rnacentral:rRNA from 1 species
CGGCGUGCCUAUUACAUGCAAGUCGAGCGAAUGGAUUAAGAGCUUGCUCUUAUGAAGUUAGCGGCGGACGGGUGAGUAACACGUGGGUAACCUGCCCAUAAGACUGGGAUAACUCCGGGAAACCGGGGCUAAUACCGGAUAACAUUUUGAACCGCAUGGUUCGAAAUUGAAAGGCGGCUUCGGCUGUCACUUAUGGAUGGACCCGCGUCGCAUUAGCUAGUUGGUGAGGUAACGGCUCACCAAGGCAACGAUGCGUAGCCGACCUGAGAGGGUGAUCGGCCACACUGGGACUGAGACACGGCCCAGACUCCUACGGGAGGCAGCAGUAGGGAAUCUUCCGCAAUGGACAGAAGUCUGACGGAGCAACGCCGCGUGAGUGAUGAAGGCUUUCGGGGCGGAAAAGUCUGUU